GAUUACUCAACCAAGCGUUGCAAGAAUCACGGUUAGUCAAGAAGGAACUGGCCAGGUGCGUUGCAGAUCCCUCGCGCAAGGAGUGGCUGGAGGGAUCUUGACAAUAGCAAGGAUUGUCUGGUUUCACUGACCAGACUGGCGAGC